CAUUUUUUUGUCUUUUCCAGGGUCACACCUGCAGCAUAUGGAGGUUCCCAGGCUAGGGGUCUAAUCAGCCUACGCCUGAGCCACAGCAACGCAGGAUCCAAGCCAUGUCUGCGACCUACACCAUAGCUCAUGGCAACACCAGAUCCUUAACCCACUGAGUGAAGCCAGGGAUCAAACCCACAACCUCAUGAUUCCUAGUUGAAUUUGUUAACCACUGAGGCAUGAAGGGAACGCUAUCAAACCAAACUCUUAACUUUUGUGAUUUGCUUCUCCUAAGGGCAGAUUAAUCUCAUCUUCCUUUUCAUCACCCUUGAUACUGUCCUCGUCCAGACUCUCUUUACUUCACCCAAGCUAUCUGUUUCCUCUCUUUCUAUUCCCAUUAUAAAGGUAGCUAUUUCAUCUUAUUCAUCUCUAGCUCCAACCAAACAUCGAGACAUUCUAGACACGCAUAGUUAUAUAUCUUCCUCUAUCAUUAGGAUAGAUUAUUCAUGAACAAAUCUCUACGGUUUCAUCUCUAGCCACCCAAUGGACAGAGAGAUGGAUUGAUAAAGAAUGAAAAAGCAAAUCAGUACAAUGAAACCAUUACAGGCAGUGCAAUAAUUCUCCUACUCUUUGAGUUCCUCUACUACGUUCUUGGUAAGCAGUUGUACAAUUAACACAAAUGAGUAGUCAGUGGAACAUAGGUUUGUUCGUUUGUGUUGAUUUUAAAUAUAAUAAGGAUAGACUGGGGGGUUGGGAUUGCCAUAAGCACACUAUGGUAUAUGGAAUGGAUGGUCAAUGGAAUGGGGAUCUGGUGUACAGCACAGGGAACUCCACCCAAUAUUCUGUGAUAAGCUAUAUGGGAAAAGAAUCUGAACAAGAAUGGAUGUGUGUAUAUGUGUAACUGAAUCACCUUGUUGUACAGCAGAAAUUAUCAAAACUUUGUAAAUCAAUUAUACUUCAAUAAAACUUAAAAAUUGGGAAAAAAAUUAAAAAAAGUUGUAACUACUUAUAGACAGGGAAAGUAUCCAUUUCUUUAUCCUGUCAUCACACCCAAACCCACACCUUAGCAUUAAAUCUAAAGAACUUAUUCCCUGCCAUUAAAAUUUGAACCAUGAUAUAGCAUAUAAUGUGUAUACAUAGGAUGGUGUUAUGUGUAUUACUUUAAAAGUAAUUUAUUUAUUUUGGGGAGGGGGGAAUGACUUUUUAAAGAUCUCAAUUUUCUAUGAAUUAACAUGAUGGUGGGAAUUUCAAGGAAGUUUCAGAUUUCGGAAAGAAUCAGGCAAUGUUUAUGCAAACCCUAAAUUUGUGACCACAAAGAUUGUCCUUUGAAAAGGACAUUUUUUCCCCUUCCCACAGACAUGUCAGCUGAGCAACCCUGCACAUGGCCAGUCUCAAGAACCAAUGGGGAGAAAAGGAAAUAAACCAUGGGCUUCUUUCCCACGUGCCAGGAAAGAGACAGUGGAGAGAACUUUAGACACUGGAAUUUGGUAGAACAACGGCCCCCUUGUAGACUCUGGUUCACUUUUAGAAAAUCACUAGGUUCCACUCUUCAUGAGAUCGCAAGCUUUGGUGGUUUCUAGAGAUGGCUAUUCCAAAAAGAUAUGUCCAGACGUUAUUCACUUUGUCUGAAAAAUAAUGUAGUAUAUAUAUAUAUAUGCAAAAUCUAGUGGGAAACCUUAAGUAGAAAUACAAGUGUAAAAAUGGGGAACUUGGAGAAAUUCCUUCCUCCUAGUUUCUGUAUCCUCAACCCUAAAACCCAGGAUGAACUAGAGGCUGUUUCCUCUCUAAUUGUUUCUUCUCUCUAAUAAAGAUGACUGUGUUCUUUGUCCUUUUGCUGAAGGUUGCCCCUCAAUAUUCUGCCCUCAGCCAUAUGCCCUUCCAAUUCUAUUCCUCUACCUCCCCGAAUUACCUCUUUCAAUACACAGCAAAUGGCACACAUCAAAAAAGCAAAUAUAAAGUUAUCAUUCCUGCACAUAAAAGCAGUGGUUCCUUAUCAUGUGCAAAAUAAAAUCCAAGUCCCUGAGUCUGACUCUUUGGGAACGAUUUAAAAUCAUACACAGGGAAAAUUUAUAUUCCUAGAACAGAAAAGGAAAAAAAGCCCCAAAUCGAAGAUCAAAUUAUCAUCUCAAGAAGCUAGAGGUGCAAACUGAUAGGUUCCCAGGAGGAUGGAGACAGAGCCCCCCUCACCCUCAAAUGUGGCUGUUCACCUCGGAGAUGUGCUGUGGACACCCUCUCCCCGCUCCCGGAAUGUGGAGGCUCAAGUUGGGCAGCAGGAAACAAUGGCCUGCGGAAAACCUCUGCCUGCAUAGACUGACCUCCUAGAAGGAUUAACUGCCCUCUGUCAUGGGACUCAAGCCCCCUAA
rnacentral:lncRNA from 1 species